rnacentral:lncRNA from 1 species
AGACUCUGCAGCAGUUGGUAGCAGGCAAGCUUUCUCCUGGGUGUCGCCUUGAAAAGUUGCAAAAUUGCUCUUCACCUGUAAGAACAUGCUCUUUAUCUUCCAGUCUCUUCUUGUCAAUUUGGAAAUUGCAGACUGCCCGGCUCAGGCUACCAAGUCAUGAUGGAGAAAAACGUGAAACCACUGAUUCAGUUCAUUGCAAAUUCAU